rnacentral:misc_RNA from 1 species
UUUCCGUAGGUGAACCUGCGGAAGGAUCAUUGUCGAAUCCUGCACGGCAGAACGACCUGUGAACAUGUAAAACAAUCGGCUUCACCGGGACUAAAGUUUUGCUUUGGUCCUCGUGAAGCAUUGUUGACGUGUGUUCAUGUUCGUCCCAUUUGGGCGUCAUGGAUAUCAAGUUGACACAACAACCCCCGGCACGACAUGUGCCAAGGAGAACUAAACUUAAAGAGCUUGUGUUAUGACGCCCCGCUUUCGGUGUGCGCAUUGCACAUGGCUUCUUUGUAAACUCAAAACGACUCUCGGCAACGGAUAUCUCGGCUCAC